GUUGGGAGCUUGCCUUGGUCACCACUCCAAGUAGUAACCUUUCAUCAACUAAUGAGAGACAACUGGCUGGUGGAUUGGACACACUUACUCUCGAUAGCUUAUAUGAUGAAGGUGCAUAUAGAGCUUCUCUACAGCCCGUGUACGGUAAGCCCGCACCAAAUCCGUUUGAGGUGCAAGAUCCGUUUGCAUAUUCGAACGCCAUUGCUCCACCUCCAUCAGUUCAAAUGGCACCACUACCUCAGCAGCAGGCCAAUCCUUUUGGUCCUUUUCAACCUACCUUCCCACAGCAGCAACAGCCCUUUUCAAUGGACCCAACAAAUCCUUUUGGUGAUGCAGGUUUUGGAGCAUUCCCUGCUCCUAACCACCAUACUGUACCACCGCCUGCAAGCAACCCGUUCGGAAGCACAGGCCUGCUGUAGAUUGCUUGUGGUACUGUCUCCAACGUGUAAUUUAGUCGACGGAUUUGAUUUCAUCAUAUUUGGCGGGAUGUAAAGGGUCGGUUUUUGUUGGACGAGCUGCAAAGAACGGUUGGUUUGGGGCGUGCGACAUUUGUUUUGGUUGAAACUUCCAGUGAGAGUGAAUAGUGAAAGUUGUAAUAAGUAGUGAAUGAAAUUCAUGACCAUUUCAAGUUAGCUUCGGAAUACUUGGAACUCUCGUCCUAUUCUGCUGAUUUCGAGUGCAUCUCUUAGAAUUCAG
rnacentral:misc_RNA from 1 species